rnacentral:rRNA from 1 species
UGUCAGCCGCCGCGGUAAUACGGAGGGGGUUAGCGUUGUUCGGAAUUACUGGGCGUAAAGCGCACGUAGGCGGAUUAGUAAGUUAGGGGUGAAAUCCCGGGGCUCAACCCCGGAACUGCCUCUAAUACUGCUAGUCUUGAGUAUAGGAGGGGAUAGCAGAAUUUCUGGUGUAGCGGUGAAAUGCGUAGAUAUCAGAAGGAAUACCAAUGGCGAAGGCAGCUAUCUGGACUAAUACUGACACUGAGGCACGAAAGCGUGGGGAGCGAAAGGGAUUAGAUA